CUUCUCUAGCAGCAAAUCAUGGAGAACAAGGCUUUCUUCGUGUUGUUUUUGGCGCUCGCCAUAUUUGUCAUGAUGCUGGCCAUGGGCGUGGACGUGGGAGGACUCGCAAAGGCUGCUGCUCAGCGCUGCCAGUCGGGGUGGUAUUGGUAUGUCAACAGUUGCCACUGUUGCCAGAGGGGUUGGAGCUGGCGCAACAAUCGCUGGUGGCGCAACUGAAACCUCUCGUUUCACGGGGUAAGCCCAAGUUAAGAAUCAGCAUCAUAAUUGCUUUUGAUUUUAUCGUUCUGCAGUGCCAAGGGUCUGGAAACAAGAAUAAAGACACUGAUAACGUGUUUUCUGUAUCGUGCGAUGUUGCAUAGUAUUGCAUGAGUUCCAGGAAUAAAAUAUAAAUUGUCCAAGCCUUGAUACAAAAUGUCUGAAUCUGUCCUUGGUCCUUCUCCUGUCUUCUCCAAAUCCCACGACUUCCAAUCGAUUGCUCCAAUUAUCGG
rnacentral:lncRNA from 1 species